UUCCGGUUGAUCCUGCCGGAGGCGACCGCUAUUGGAAUUCGAUUAAGCCAUGCGAGUCGAGAGUCUUAGGGACUCGGCGUACCGCUCAGUAACACGUGGGUAACCUGCCCUGUGCUGGGGAAUAACCUCGGGAAACUGAGAAUAAUACCCCAUAGUUCACCACGCCUGGAACGGUGGGUGGAUGAAAGCUCCGGCGGCAUAGGAUGGGCCUGCGGCGUAUCAGGUUGUAGGGGGUGUAAUGUACCCUCUAGCCAUCUACGCGUACGGGUGUUGGGAGACAUCGCCCGGAGAUGGAUUCUGAGACACGAAUCCAGACCCUACGGGGUGCAGCAGGCGCGAAAACUUGGCAAUGCGAGCAAUCGUGACCAGGGAACUCCAAGUGCAUCGGGUAAGACCGAUGCUUUUCUUGACUCUUCAAAGGUCUUGGAAUAAGGGGUGGGUAAGGACGGUGCCAGCCGCCGCGGUAAUACCGGCGCCUCAAGUGGUAGUCGCUUUUAUUGGGCCUAAAACGUCCGUAGCCGGUUUGGUACAUUCGUGGGUAAAUCAAGGCGCUCAACGUCUUGAAUUCUGCGAGCACGGCCAGACUUGGGACCGGGUGAGGUGUGGGGUACUCUCAGGGUAGGGGUAAAAUCCUGUCAUCCUGAGAGGACCACCUGUUGCGAAGGCGCCACACUAGAACGGAUCCGACGGUCAGGGACGAAGCCUAGGGGCACGAACCGGAUUAGAUACCCGGGUAGUCCUAGGUGUAAACGCUGUGGACUUGAUGUUGGGAGUGCUCCGAGCACCCUCAGUGUCGAAGCGAAGGUGAUAAGUCCACUGCCUGGGGAGUACGGUCGCAAGGCUGAAACUUAAAGGAAUUGGCGGGGGAGCACCACAAGGGGUGAAGCCUGCGGUUCAAUUGGAUUCAACGCCGGA
rnacentral:rRNA from 1 species